GAUCAUGGCUCAGGACGAACGCUGGCGGCGUGCCUAACACAUGCAAGUCGAACGGAGACAAAGAUUCGGUUUUGUCUUAGUGGCGAACGGGUGAGUAACGCGUGAACAACCUGACCUUGAGAGGGGGAUAACAACGAGAAAUCGUUGCUAAUACCGCAUAAGACCACAACGCCGCAUGGCGAAGGGGUCAAAGGAGCAAUCCGCUCAGGGAGGGGUUCGCGUCCCAUUAGGUAGUAGGCGGGGUAACGGCCCACCUAGCCGACGAUGGGUAGCCGAGCUGAGAGGCUGAUCGGCCACACUGGAACUGAGACACGGUCCAGACUCCUACGGGAGGCAGCAGUGGGGAAUAUUGGGCAAUGGGCGCAAGCCUGACCCAAGCAACGCCGCGUGAGGGAAGAAGGUUUUCGGAUUGUAAACCUCUGUCGCAGAUGACGAAGGAAGUGACGGUAAUCUGUGAGGAAGCCCCGGCUAACUACGUGCCAGCCGCUGC
rnacentral:rRNA from 1 species